UGCAUUUUACCCAGAGCCUGUUUGCUAUGC
rnacentral:piRNA from 1 species